GCAGCCGCAACGAGAGGAGGGCCAAGGACAUGGCUAGCUUCACCUGUUGGGUUUGCGAAAAUCAAUGUUGAUGGAGCUGUUGCGCGCCAUAAACGUGGUGGGGCAGUUUCUGCGGUGUGUCGAGACCACACAGGUUUAUACUUGGGCUCUUCGGCGGUAGUCUACCGAGACAUUACUAAUCCCACAACCCUGGAAACGUUUGCGUGCAGGGAGGCGUUAGCUCUUGCAGAGGAUCUUCAGGUGACAAACAUGAUGGUUGCCUCGGAUUGCAAAGAUGAAAUAAUGCAACGGAGAAGCACUUUCGACUCGGUUUCUUUUGUUUUUGAGCGUAGAAAUCACAACUUCGAGGCUCACAAUCUCGCCAAGUUCACUUGUAAUUUAGGGGUAGGUCGGCAUGUUUGGCUGGGAGUCUCCCAUGAAAAGCAUCGCGUACCUAUGAACAUUACUAUUAUCUAA
rnacentral:rRNA from 1 species